GAAAGCACUUUAAUAUGUUCUAAUUACCUCAAUACAUGUGUGUUUUACAGGUAAAAAAAGCCCUAUUUUCUUAAAUUCGUGUAUUACUUAUCUAGUACAUACAUGUAUAUUUGAAAGGCCUUGUUAUUUAACUUAAACAGGAUGUUGCAAUUUUGAAUCAAUGUUAUUUAGAAUUUAAUACCUCUGACCAGGUGUGAUCUUAUUUAUGAGUUUGCCACAAGCAGAGGUUAUUCUUUAUAUUUCACCACUAAUCAGAAAAACAAUUUUAUUUAUUUAUUUAAUAUUAUCCCUUUUUGAUAUAAGUUUUAUAUAAUAUUUUUUUUUCAUCC
rnacentral:lncRNA from 1 species